rnacentral:rRNA from 1 species
CGGCGAGUGAAGCGGCAAAAGCUCAAAUUUGAAACCCUCGGGAUUGUAAUUUGAAGAUUUGGCAUUGGAGAAAGCUAACCCAAGUUGCUUGGAAUAGUACGUCAUAGAGGGUGACAACCCCGUCUGGCUAACCGUUCUCCAUGUAUUGCCUUAUCAAAGAGUCGAGUUGUUUGGGAAUGCAGCUCAAAGUGGGUGGUAAACUCCAUCUAAAGCUAAAUACUGGUGAGAGACCGAUAGCGAACAAGUACUGUGAAGGAAAGGUGAAAAGAACUUUGAAAAGAGAGUGAAAUAGUAUGUGAAAUUGUUGAUAGGGAAGGAAAUGAGUGGAGAGUGGCCGAGGUUUCAGCCGCCCCUCGUGGGCGGUGUACUGCCGACGCCGAGUCAUCGAUAGCGAGACGAGGGUUACAAAUGGGAGCGCCUUCGGGCGUUCUCCCCUAACCCUCCACACUGCCACCGACGACAUAAUCCACCCAUUUCACCCGUCUUGAAACACGGACC